rfam:Stegodyphus mimosarum contig124553, whole genome shotgun sequence.
GCCUUCGUGGUAUAGAUGUCAGCACGCUCGACGCGUAUUCGAGAGGUCCAGGGUUCGAGUCCUGGAGAAGGCA